rnacentral:rRNA from 1 species
UACGUAGGGGGCAAGCGUUGUCCGGAAUCAUUGGGCGUAAAGCGCGUGUAGGCGGCCAAGUAAGUCCGUUCUGAAAGCCCGGGGCUCAACCCCGGGAGGCGGAUGGAUACUGCUUGGCUCGAGUCCGGAAGAGGCGAGUGGAAUUCCCGGUGUAGCGGUGAAAUGCGCAGAUAUCGGGAGGAACACCAAUGGCGAAGGCAGCUCGCUGGGACGGUACUGACGCUGAGACGCGAAAGCGUGGGGAGCGAACAGG